CAGAAAUUCAACCAAUCAGAUUAGUAACAAAAAAAAAAAAACAUAUGCUAAAAGUUUAACUUUCUAUAACUGUGUUAUUGUUCAUUUGUGUAGUUUAUCAAUCAUCCUAAAGUAAUUGGGUUUAUGCAAUACAAACAAAUUGUAGAGAAUUGAAAAACUGAAUUGAAGAAUUAACAAAGUUUAGUAAUUUGCUAUGUUUUGGUUCA